UACAGAGGGGGCUAGCGUUAUUCGGAAUUAUUGGGCGUAAAGGGCGCGUAGGCGGCCAUGCGUGUCUUCCGUGAAAUCCCUCGGCUUAACUGAGGACGUGCGGAAGAAACUGCAAGGCUCGAGUCCGGGAGAGGGGGGUGGAAUUCCCAGUGUAGCGGUGAAAUGCGUAGAUAUUGGGAGGAACACCGGUGGCGAAGGCGGCCCCCUGGACCGGUACUGACGCUGAUGCGCGAAAGCGUGGGUAGCAAACGGG
rnacentral:rRNA from 1 species